AUUGAACGCUGGCGGCAGGCCUAACACAUGCAAGUCGAACGAGUGGCGGACGGGUGAGUAAUGUCUGGGAAACUGCCUGAUGGAGGGGGAUAACUACUGGAAACGGUAGCUAAUACCGCAUACCAUCAGAUGUGCCCAGAUGGGAUUAGCUAGUUGGUGGGGUAACGGCUCACCAAGGCGACAAUCCCUAGCUGGUCUGAGAGGAUGACCAGCAACACUGGAACUGAACCACGGUCCAGACUCCUACGGUAGGCAGCAGUAGGAAAUACUGCACAAUGGGCGCAAGCCUACUGCAGAGAUUCCGCGUGGAUGAAGAAGGCCUUCGGGUGGUAAAGUACUUUCGGCGUGAAGGCGUUACCCGCAGAAGAAGCACCGGCUAACUCCGUGCCAGCAGCCGCGGUAAUUC
rnacentral:rRNA from 1 species